rnacentral:rRNA from 1 species
UGGUUCAUUCAAAUUUCUGCCCUAUCAACUUUCGAUGGUAGGAUAGUGGCUACCAUGGUUUCAACGGGUAACGGGGAAUUAGGGUUCUAUUCCGGAGAGGGAGCCUGAGAAACGGCUACCACAUCCAAGGAAGGCAGCAGGCGCGCAAAUUACCCAAUCCCGACACGGGGAGGUAGUGACAAUAAAUACUGAUACAGGGCUCUUUUGGGUCUUGUAAUUGGAAUGAGUACAAUUUAAAUCCCUUAACGAGGAACAAUUGGAGGGCAAGUCUGGUGCCAGCAGCCGCGGUAAUUCCAGCUCCAAUAGCGUAUAUUAAAGUUGUUGCAGUUAAAAAGCUCGUAGUUGAACCUUGGGCCUGGCUUGGCCGGUCCGCCUCCACCGCGUGGCACUGGUCCGGCCGGGCCCUUUCCUUCUGGGGAGCCGCAUGCCCUUCACUGGGUGUGUCGGGGAACCAGGAAUUUUACUUUGAAAAAAUUAGAGUGUUCAAAGCAGGCCCUAUGCUCGAAAUACAUUAGGCAUGGGAAUAAUAGAAUAGGACGGUGUGGUUCUAUUUGUUGGGUUCUAGGACCGCCGUAAUUGAUUAAUAGGGGAUAGUC